AAAAAAAAAAAAACAUAGAUUUGAGAUUCCUGCUAUUGAAUGUCCUGAGUUACAGUCUGGAUGGGAAACAGUAGUAGGAAUUGUUACCCUCUUCCCAAGAGAUUUCAGUGGGCAGCCAGAUCUCAGUCCCAUAAUCUGGGCCUCUGUUAUCCACCCUCUGGAGAACCCUGGCCAUUUGGACUACAAAGACAAAGACCCACCACGCACUUGCUGGCAGCUUAGCUUAAUGGAGGAAGCAUCCCAAGAGAAGAAAAGUAGACUUGAUGUGCCAGUGCUGCACACCAACACAAUGACAGAGAGAAAGCUCUGGGCAUGAUACAGGAGCUGGCCUGGUAGAAAUCCCCCAGGUCUAAGAAAUGAGCCUAUUUACCUUCCUUGCCCUUAGGCCUAGCACAUGAUGUGAGAGGGAAGAGAAAUAACCAUAAGCCCUUGACAUACACCUGUAUGUCAUUUCUGCCCUUUCAGGGUAAGCAUAAGUAGGCCAGAUUAGAGAUCAGAAUAGGGCUUAGAGGUAAGAUGACAACCAGGACUAAGGUUGUAAUCUUCCAAAAGGCUGGUCCCUCCCAUAAUGCAUACAGCUUCUUGGGGCCUCUUAGGGUUAGGCCUUAGGGUUACUCCAAUGGGAGAACAAUCACUAACAUCAAGGAGUUUCAGAGUAAUUAUUAACUGUCCAUCCAGACAGGAAAUAUUUAUCAAGCUUCAAUUAUGUGCCAGGCACCUGGCCAGUAAUUCUCAGUGGAUAUUGGAGUCCCUGUGGAACUGUUUAAAAAUUACAAAUAUCCAAGCCUCGCCCCAGAAAUUGUAAGUAAAUUGGUUUCACAUACAGUCUUAGGCAGCUGUUAUUCUGAGAACUUCCCAGGUGACCUGAAUGUGUGGCCAAGGUUGAGACUCACCGUGCUAGAGUUAAAGCAGUGACCCUCAAACAGGAGUGACCACCAGAAUUACCUGGGGUUGGGGGACCUUGUUUAAACACAAUUCUGCCUCCACCACACUUUCUGAUUCAGUGGUCUGAAGUAGGACCCAAGAAUUUGCUGUUUUACAGAUUCCCGGGUAAUGCUGAUCCUGAUGGUCCCGGACCAUAUUCAGAAUCACCGAGCAACUCGGUACUGCGUCUUUUGAGACAUGCAGUCAAUUAGGAAUGUGUUCUCUUGCCUAUUUGGAGCCCACAAAAAAAUCACACUUCCUUCACUACAGAGCCACCCAAAGUGAUUCUACUUUGUGAGUCUCAAAGUCUGAGCUCCCUGGCCUGACCAGUUCCUUCAGGUUGUAGGACCGAGUCCCCUGUUUCCUUGCUAGAUGUCCGCUGGAGUGCUCCUCUUAGCUCCUAGAAACUUCUCUCUAGUCCCUUCUAUCUUAGAACCAGCAACAGCACAUCAAAGCCUUCUCAUGCUUGAAGCUCUUUUGACCCCUCUUCUGCUAUGGAGGAGCUCACGUGAUUAUAUUGGGCCCACUGGGCCAAGUCUGGAUAGUCUCCCUAUCUUACAGCCCAGUGAUUAACAAUCUUAAUUGCAUCUUCAAAGUUCCUUGACAGCAGUGUCUAGAUUAAUGUUUCAUUGGAUAACCAGGGGAUAGAAUGUUAAAAGACAUCUUUAGACUUCCACCUUCCAUACCACCCUACUUGUUUAGUCGUGCUUUCCAGUGAGCAGGCACUUGGAGAAGACAUUCCAUUUUAGAGUCAGCCAUACAAGUAGUUGGUACUUGGACAUCUGAAAUCCCAGUGUUUCCCAUGCCUGGACCAGCCCGGACUUGAGAAGGUAUGCCAGUGCUGACUGAGAAGGUAGAAGGGUUCUCAGUGCUUCUGGCAUCAUGAAGAAGAAGAAAGGUAAAAAUGCCUCUGGUCACAGUGAAAGCCUUUCGUGGCCUUAAUUAGAGCUCCAGUAACUUUAAAAUGGAGAUUGGGACAUUCAAAUCUGUAGGCAAAGUCUGCAGCAGGACAAAUGAUGUCCUUGUUCCUGAAAAAUUCGGGUCUGCCUGACUAAAGAUAAUCCCAAUAAUGGAGUCACAUGUUACAGACACCCCCAGGCACACUGCCUUUUGUCCAUUCCCAUACACAGCCACUCGAGGAAUCUAUCCAGUACACAAAUCUGAUCAUGUCCCUGCCUGUUUCUGAGCCUUUUGUGGUUCCCCAUUUGAUGCUACUGAUUCCACUUUCCUUGAGUGUAUAAAAGGCCCUGUGAUCUGGACCCCAUUGGUCCCUCUAGCCUCAUCUCCGGUAACUCCUGGUCUCAGGCUAUGUCCUCCCCACGUGUGUGAAGCUCCUGGAGCACACUCUGACACUCUGCGUCCCCAGCUUUUUGUUCUGGCUGUCUCUCUGCCUACAAUACUUUCCCCUAGUUUUAUUUGACUGAUCAAUAAUCAUCUAUCACUCAACUCAGUGUCUUCACCUUCAGGAAGGCUCUUAUCUCUCUGUAGCUAGGUCAGAAUAGCUGCUCCUGAAUUUUGAUAAUCCAGUUCUGCAACUAUCUCCUCCCUUAAAGGAAGAGCUCCCUGAACAGAGCAUGGCACCUGGCACAGCAUAGACACUCAAAAAUGUUUGCUUUCAAACAACAAAGCCUUCAGCAAGAACUUAGAGUAACCAGACCCAGAUUUGUGCAUCUGAAGUUACCUUGGAAUAAUCAGUGUGGGAGUCAGGAAAAGGCCAGACUAGGACUCCAUCUGUAGGACUUGCUACUUCACCUACAAGUCCCAUUGCAAAAUGAAAAUGUAGGCCUCCUUGCAAAACAGCUAUUCAGAAUUUUUAAAUGGCAGAGCAUAAGUGCAGAGCCCUAUGUGACUUUCCAGGUCCCAUGCCCAUAAAGUGAGACCUGCUAGUCUGGAAUCUUGAUAUGGGCUAAAGUGUGGAGCCUGGAAGGCCAGAACACUUCCUUUCCAUUUCCCCAAAACCCUCCAGCUUGAUUGUAAAUGUCUAUGAUAUUAACCUAUUGAAACAGUCUUUCAGUUGAAGGGAGAAGGCAAUUCAGCCUCCAAAUGAGGCCUCUUUCUUUGGAAAAGAGGAAGGUAACCGCCUACAUUAAAAUGCUAGCCACAUUGUACAAAGCGUGUCUAUGUCAACAGCCUUGGACCUGGGCACCUUGUGGCCCAUUUUUUAAUACAUUGGUUUGAAAGGCCACAUCACUCCAAUGUGCACAGGCCAACAGCCAGCCUCUCUCCACAGCUCGGCCCAGGGAGUACCAGGUAGCAAGAUGAAGCCAAGUGGGAGGGCUGGAGUGCAGACCAGAUCCCCUUUCAGAGCAAAGCCUGGUCUAUGUGGGUAGGGUGAGUAUCCAAGGGGCUCUGUAGCCUCUGGACAAAUUUAAUCAAUCCCAAGCACACAAGUGACAGAGAGAGUCCCACUGAGGAGCUACAGGGACCUCUCAAGCCAGUUGUUAAAAAUAGAGUUAGUCAGGGGGUUUCAGAGCUCUUGGAGUGAAAUGUGGGUGCCAGGUCAUGGGCAAACUGAAACUUAAAGGCUAUCAGGAGCAAAGAAACAAUGAGUACGGCUUUCUCCUUCAUUGCUCCUCUUUUCCCUGGAGCCUGCUCCAUCUGCCCUCCCCUCUCCUCUGACCAGCACUCUCCACUUGCAUGCGAUUUCCAUCUGCCCUUGGUGUGGACUGCACAAACCUUGUGACUGUUCUGGCCUCACUCUCCUUACACCAUGGCUCUGCUUCUCCAGUUCCUAUGUUCACAGCCCAAUUCUUUCUGUCAGUCCUCCGCUAGGAGAAAGUGGGCAGGCAGAUGGUUAGGAACCUUUCUACUACAAGAAUAGUACAAGUCCCUACAAGGUAGCCCUGACCAAAGAUCCAGGCAGACAGGCAGGCCAGGGAGGCCUGGCCAUGAGCUGCUGUCCCAGGCAAUGGGCUGGGGCUCAUGUUGGAGGAUGCAGGGAAGUAGUGCCAGGGGUAAAGCAGAGUCCUAAGAAUCUGAGGAAGGUUCCCAAAUCAGAAAGCAGGCACCAGAAUUGGGCACAGAAAAAGGCAGAGCAAUACCUGACUCACAGCCACAGAGACUGCUGAAUCCUGGAGGGUUACACACAUCUGCAGCAUUGACCCUCUACCAUCAGAGCUAUCAGAAGAUGAAAGCCGUGGGGAGAGGUAGAUCCUAACAUUAAAGUAAAUGGCAAGGCCCUGCGCCCAAAUACAUUCACGGUAUGAGCAUGUUCAAGCCCCACCUCAGCUGUCCAGAACUUUUCACUACCAGAGCACCCUCCUUCUUCCCACACAAGUUGAUUGAGUUUAUUCUGUUGUGUUGAUAAAUAUAUUUGGAAAUCAUGAGGAACCAGGUUCAGCUAAUGCCUUUAUUUCUGAUCCCUGUAAAUACAACGCCUUCAAUGAAGAAACAACGCUCCCUGUGUUUACUGGGAACUGAUUCUGUGCUGUGGGCACUGUAGGAUCAAAUCCAGAUGCCCUAGUAUGUCUUUCCUGGCCCUACCUAGAGAGCUUGUUAAAACACGGAUUGGGCCUUACCCCCAGAGUUACAUUUCCAACUCGUUCUCAGGUGAUGCUGAUGCUGCUGGCCAAAGGACAACUUGGAGAACCACUGCCUAGCCUCACCAGCUGUCAUGGCCAACCCCAGCCUCCAGUAUCUCGUUACGCUCCCCCACUCCUCUCUCACACAGACUCUCUCCCCACUAAGUACUGAACUCCUUCCACUUUCCAUAUGACACCAUACCAAAGCCCUCCCAGAUCUGUAUACAUGCCAUCCCGUUUACCUGGAAUACGCUUCUCCCUCACUUCCUCUGGUUCUCUUCUACUCUGUCUCAAUAUCUAGCAUAGAUGCACUUCCUCCAGGAGACCCUGCAUGCCUCCUCCCUUCCCCCUUAUUCACUCACUCACAGAUGUGUUGGGGUCCCUGCCCUGGGCUUCAGGAGCAGCCUGUGCUUCCCCCGGGGUGCCUCUUGGUCCGUUGUAUCCUCGUAGCUGCUCUGUCUCCUCCUCUGUAAGGACAGCAAUCAAGUCCAUCUGUUUACCAUCUCAUCCCCAAGGCCUGGUCAGUGAUCAGCAGGUAAUGAGUAUAUAUUUACCAAAUGAAUGAAUGAACUACACGAAUUUGAUCAUUUGUCUUAUUGGGACAUUAGCCUACAUUCUAAAUAGGCAGAAUAUGAAUACCUUAUACAUACACUAUCAUGGUCAUUCUCAAAGUAUGAUUCUCCAACCAGCAACAUCGACAUCAUCUGGGAACCUCUUAGAAACGCAAAUUAUCAGGCCCCACCCUGACCUGCAGUAUCAGAAACUUUGGGGGUGGGGCCCAGCUAUCAGGUUUUAAUAAACCCUCCAGGUGGUUCUGAUGCUCCUCCAAGUUUGAGAACCACUGUACUAUCAUAUAAUGAGACCUCAAAGGAAUGAAAAUGCUAAAGGAUUCUGAAGGUAAUAGGACUCUCUGGUAUUGGUGAAGUCAAUGAUACGUGAAAACUGCUCGGAGUAUGCUAACAGAGGUCUUGGGGAUGGUUUACUCUCCUGGGGGCUGUAACCUCAAAGUAGUUAAGCUGAGUUUAUUCUCAAAAUUAUGGAUAUUUAUAAAACAGAGCUCCAAGGAUGAAGGUGUCACUGCAGACGACAGUUUGGAGGAGAGACAAUUACUCUGUCAGGUGAAUAAUUUGAAGACAAAAUUGAAAAGCGACAAUAGGGAAAGCCAGACGAGCUAAAAGUUAAUUUGGUGACUAGCAUAAGAAGCAUUGUGAUGGGGAAGGUGUCAAUUUACUGGCAGGGUCCAGUGAGCAAGCUCUUUCCAAAGUCUAUGUACUGUCCCAUUGUGAUCAAUGAAACAUCAUCUGGGUGUGAGAGGCAAAUGCAGCAGAACUGAUGACUGACUGAAUACAGGUGUCUCAGGUCUUCAGGGGAGGGGCUAGGACAGGAUUGGAACCCACAAUCAGAAUUAACAAGGAUCAGAAUUAUUUAAAAAAAAAAAAAAUUAAACCUGGAAGAAAAACACAAGUUAGUGCUACACUGUGAGGCAAGAAACUGUCUGUUGUCACAUCUUCUCUAUAAAGCCAGGAUAAAAGGAUCCUGGGGCUGGAGUCCACUGGGAGCAGAACAAGAAUGCCUCAGAAGGCUUUGGAAAGGGCAAGCCCAACCUGAACUUGGGAGCUGGUCCCCGAAAUCCCACCAUAAAGUACUCAUUUUCUUUAAAGACUAGGAAUGUGAGGACUCAUGCAGCUACUUGGCAUUGAGGCAAACUGGAAAUACAAAACUAAACUUGUUUUCUAAACCAUGACAAGCUACAGCCUAUAGUUCUACCAUAUGCUUCUAAAUUGCCCAUGUCUUGUACAGUUUGCUCUUAGAAAUUCUUCAUGCCAACAGAAUAUAUUCUACCCAGUAAACGAAGCUAGGUUUGGGCUAUCCUUAUGACCCAGGGAGUAUAAAGGGGAGGCAUCAAUCCACAGUACUUGCUGCUCCUCCUUCUGCCCCUUGAGGUGGUAUGCUGGGAAAUGAGCAGCGAGUGGGUAAGAGGCUCCACUAAAAGCAGAAUUGCCACAUGGAGCCUGAAGAGCAUUCACUGAAUCACUAAGAACUAAGUGUUAUUUAAAAUAAGUACUUAUCUUAAAUCAGGCCGAAGGUCAGGGUGGGGGACACCAAGGUCAACAUCUCAGAUAUCUAAUGAAGACCCUUGAUCUGAAGGAAAUUUAUGGUUCCGGAAAGAAUACGUGCAUCGGAGGAAUACUCCUCCAAAACACAGCUAACUGGGUGAACUUGGGUGAGUUACUCAAGCCCUCUGAUUCUCCAUGAUAUCUUAAAUCAAGGAUGAAAACGUACUUGGCAGGGUUGCCUGGGGAAUUAAACAAGAUAAAAAACUAUUUAUCCCUUACAGACACCUAAUAAAUGUGAGAUGUACCGAUCUUCUCCUACCUCUUAGAUCACAUAGGGCUGGCCUGUCCUGAAUCCUAUUUCAUAAGAGAAAAGCAGAUUUGGCAUUCCAUAACAUAGCCCUGAACCACAGACAAGCCACAGUUUUUCAUGAGCUUUGCUGAUUACUUUUAAAAAAUAAUGAUACCACUACUCCCGCCGUCUGAUUUGGUUUGGCAAACGGUCUCUUCCUUCUUAUUCACAGUUAGAAGUGUUACCAUUGCAGGCCCUAGAAGUUGAAUGGUGAGCUUCUGGGUCCCCUGGAAGAAACUUUUUAUCUCUACUUAUCCACCAAGUCGUGAAAUUUUGCUAGAGGUGUGUUUGGUUGUUCGUUCAUUUGUUUUGUUAUUUUUUGUUCUGUGGGGGCUUUUGGCUAAAGGAGUCCCUGGUAUUCAUUUGCCAGAACUGCUGUAACAAAGUGCCGCAAAGAGGGUGGCUUAACCAACAGAAAUUUGUCUGGCAGUUCUGGAGGCUAGACAUCUGAAAUCAAGGUGUCAGUGGCGCUGGUUUCUCCCUCGAGGAAAGGAUCUGUUUCAGGCCUCUCUCCUUGACUUGCAAAUGGCCAUCUUCUCCCUACACCCUUGUGUAGUCUUCCCUCUGGGCAGCUGUGUGUGUCCAAAUUUCCCCUUCUUAUGAGGACAGCAGUCAGAUGGGAGUAAGGCUCUCCUAGUGAACUCAUUUUCACUUGAAUACCUUUGUAAAGACCUAUCCUGAAAUGCGGUCACAUUCUGAAGUACUAGGUGUGAGGACUUCAACAUAUGAAUUUUAGGGGAUACAAUUCAAUCCAUAAUGUCCCCUAGCCCCACUCACACGCACUAUUGGCAUCUGGAGGAUGACAGUGCAAUGUAACCUGAUACACCGCCCCGGAAAAUAGCACAUUUCCACAGCGAAGGGGAGAAAUUCCCACUCUUGCUACACUAUUCACCCUCAGCGAAGUCCAUUCCAGGGUGGCCCACUAGGAAGGCAUGCGCUUUUCCUCCCUCAGGCUGACUACCUUUCGGUUGACUGGUAUUUUAGAGUCUGAACCUAUAGUCUAGGCCUAUCUUCAUGGCCAUAUUAAUCAUCAUGCUGGCAAAGACCUUCACUGCGCUGGCAUUGAUGUGUCUUCUGGUCUCACACAUCAGAUACUAUAUAUAGCUGAGGGAUUGAUGUCAAGGUUUCCCACCUCUCAUUCUGCCCAAGAAGCUACCAAAUGUGGUGACUCUGUUAGAUCUCAGGAUAAGAACUGCUGGAAGUUUUUGCUCCUGCAGGAAGAAGAAGGAGCAGGUAAAGUAAAUGAAGUCCAGUGUUGUGGGUAAAAUGUGGAAAGAAAAUCCUUAAGGUUCUGCUUGCUUUCAGGUUUAGUGGCUGGGCGCAUCAGACAAACCUCCCCAGCAGCCUCUCCACCUGGGAGACAGAGGAGGAAAAGAAGUGAAGGGCUCUCCUCUCUUGAGAUUAACAUUCAGGAGAGAAAGAGAGAGAGAGACAUAUUUACAAAUUCUGUUGUGAAUUUCCUAGACAAAUUUGAAGUACCGUGUCAGGGCCAGGUGGACAGAGUGCCGAAAAAGCUGUCCUAGCGCUAUCCCAGGGCACUCUCACUCCUCAUUGCCCAGGGUGGGGAGUGGAGGCAGUGCCUUUGCUGAUGGCCAUGUCCGUGAAAACAGUAAGUUUCCUCCUUACUCUCCUGGAUAAAAUGAUUUUUUCUUCCCUCGGCUUUCAGACGAGGCCAGGGGACAUCUGCUCAGAGACAUCCUCCCUGAAUGCUCAAACCAAGGACUGCACAAUGCCCAGGCAGUGUCCGGGGCUCCACGCGUGCCUUUCUCCUGGAGGGAGUCCACGUCCUGACCUUGCCCUCUGAGCUGCACCAGGCCUUGUUCCACACCAGAUUCCCCUCCACGGAGGGGCACAUGGAAGUGCCCAGAACUUUGCUCCUCUCCAACACUGACUCCUGAAGACCUAAUGACUCCUGUGGCUUUAGCACCACUACCUUGGGUGGGGACCCCCAAGGUUUGUAUUCCAACCAGACUUGUCGGUUACAAUUCUGUGCCAUGCACCUCCCCACCCAGGGCCCCUAGCUCCUCACUCCCAGUGUGUCUCCCCACAAUCUCCUAUACAUGCAUGUGUGCAUCUGACUUAAACUCAGUUACCUCUCAUCUCUUUCCUAACUUUGUACUUUUUUUCUCUCUUUAGGAUGGAAAAUUUUGGAGUAAUUCUUGAUUCCUCUUUUUCUACUCCUAUCUCCAGUAUUCUGCCAGUCAUCAAAUCCUGUGCAUAUUUAAUAAAUAUUAUUGAAUUGCAGUACUGAUAAAA